rnacentral:rRNA from 1 species
GUGCCAGCCGCCGCGGUAAAACGUAGGAUCCGAGCGUUAUCCGAAUUCACUGGGCGUAAAGCGCGUGCAGGCGGUCUAAUAAGUUGGAUGUGAAAUCUCCUGGCUCAACUAGGAGAGGCCGUUCAAUACUGUUGGACUAGAGGGCAGUAGAGGGAGGUGGAAUUCCCGGUGUAGUGGUGAAAUGCGUAGAUAUCGGGAGGAACACCAGUGGCGAAGGCGGCCUCCUGGACUGCACCUGACGCUCAGACGCGAAAGCUAGGGGAGCGAACGGGAUUAGAUACCCUGGUAGUCC